AGAGUUUGAUCCUGGCUCAGAGUGAACGCUGGCGGUAGGCCUAACACAUGCAAGUCGAACGGCAGCACAGGAGAGCUUGCUCUCUGGGUGGCGAGUGGCGGACGGGUGAGGAAUACAUCGGAAUCUACUCUGUCGUGGGGGAUAACGUAGGGAAACUUACGCUAAUACCGCAUACGACCUACGGGUGAAAGCAGGGGACCUUCGGGCCUUGCGCGAUUGAAUGAGCCGAUGUCGGAUUAGCUAGUUGGCGGGGUAAAGGCCCACCAAGGCGACGAUCCGUAGCUGGUCUGAGAGGAUGAUCAGCCACACUGGAACUGAGACACGGUCCAGACUCCUACGGGAGGCAGCAGUGGGGAAUAUUGGACAAUGGGCGCAAGCCUGAUCCAGCCAUACCGCGUGGGUGAAGAAGGCCUUCGGGUUGUAAAGCCCUUUUGUUGGGAAAGAAAUCCAGCUGGCUAAUACCCGGUUGGGGUGACGGUACCCAAAGAAUAAGCACCGGCUAACUUCGUGCCAGCAGCCGCGGUAAUACGAAGGGUGCAAGCGUUACUCGGAAUUACUGGGCGUAAAGCGUGCGUAGGUGGUCGUUUAAGUCCGUUGUGAAAGCCCUGGGCUCAACCUGGGAACUGCAGUGGAUACUGGGCGACUAGAAUGUGGUAGAGGGUAGCGGAAUUCCUGGUGUAGCAGUGAAAUGCGUAGAGAUCAGGAGGAACAUCCAUGGCGAAGGCAGCUACCUGGACCAACAUUGACACUGAGGCACGAAAGC
rnacentral:rRNA from 1 species